UACGUAGGGUGCGAGCGUUAAUCGGAAUUACUGGGCGUAAAGCGUGCGCAGGCGGCUUUGCAAGACUGAGGUGAAAUCCCCGGGCUCAACCUGGGAACUGCCUUUGUGACUGCAAGGCUAGAGUACGGCAGAGGGGGAUGGAAUUCCGCGUGUAGCAGUGAAAUGCGUAGAUAUGCGGAGGAACACCGAUGGCGAAGGCAAUCCCCUGGGCCUGUACUGACGCUCAUGCACGAAAGCGUGGGGAGCAAACAGGAUUAGA
rnacentral:rRNA from 1 species